rnacentral:rRNA from 1 species
GAUGAACGCUGGCGGCGUGCCUAAUACAUGCAAGUCGAGCGAACAGAUGAGGAGCUUGCUCCUCUGACGUUAGCGGCGGACGGGUGAGUGACACGUGGAUAACCUACCUAUAAGACUGGGAUAACUUCGGGAAACCGGAGCUAAUACCGGAUAAUAUAUUGAACCGCAUGGUUCAAUAGUGAAAGACGGUUUUGCUGUCACUUAUAGAUGGAUCCGCGCCGCAUUAGCUAGUUGGUAAGGUAACGGCUUACCAAGGCAACGAUGCGUAGCCGACCUGAGAGGGUGAUCGGCCACACUGGAACUGAGACACGGUCCAGACUCCUACGGGAGGCAGCAGUAGGGAAUCUUCCGCAAUGGGCGAAAGCCUGACGGAGCAACGCCGCGUGAGUGAUGAAGGUCUUCGGAUCGUAAAACUCUGUUAUUAGGGAAGAACAAAUGUGUAAGUAACUAUGCACGUCUUGACGGUACCUAAUCAGAAAGCCACGGCUAACUACGUG